GUGGGGAAUAUUGCACAAUGGGGGGAACCCUGAUGCAGCGACGCCGCGUGAAGGAAGAAGUAUUUCGGUAUGUAAACUUCUAUCAGCAGGGAAGAAAAAGGACGGUACCUGACUAAGAAGCCCCGGCUAACUACGUGCCAGCAGCCGCGGUAAUACGUAGGGGGCGAGCGUUAUCCGGAUUUACUGGGUGUAAAGGGGGCGCAGACGGCCAUGGCAAGCCCGGUGUGAAAGGUGCGGGCACAACCCGCAGACUGCACUGGUAACUGCCUGGCUGGAGUGCCGGAGGGGUAAGCGGAAUUCCUGGUGUAGCGGUGAAAUGCGUAGAUAUCAGGAGGAACACCGGUGGCGAAGGCGGCUUACUGGACGGCAACUGACGUUGAGGCCCGAAAGCGUGGGGAGCGAACAGGAUUAGAAACCCUAGUAGUCC
rnacentral:rRNA from 1 species